UUUUUUGUUUUUUGUUUUUUUAAAUUAUUCUAAAGUUCUUAGUGGAACUUUAAAGAAAGUUCAUUUCUUUCCUUCAUUUAGUAAUGUUUAACACCUGGUUCCUUGAAAAGCUCUUUAAGAGCUUAGCCAAAGCAUAAAAGCCCUAAUGCUUUCUUCACUUUAAUUUUCAUUAUGAGCUUUUCUCAUGAAAAACCAUUCAGACCCUUCUAAAAGUGACCUAUAAGUAAAGAGCAGGUCCGGAAAGACUGAGAUGUAUUGAAAUACGAACUAAUAAAUGGAUGAAUGAACAAACACACUUCGGCACAGGGCACCGCUGUCCUGGGGGCCUAAAUCAUCCAGCUUCAGCAGACUUGUGACUAGAACUGACUGGAACAAUGACUGCCCCUUGGCGGCCUCUGGAAAUACAGACCGGGUCCAAAUACUCCAAGUCUAACGCUGGCUUUAAUCUCACAUACUUGGCAAAAGAAUAUGCCAUCCCGAUAAAGCCCUCCUGUCUGCUCAACCAAACUGCCCCAACAUGAACUCUCCUCCACCCAGGUGCCAGGGAAGAAACGGAUCACUUUGGUUCCUGGUGUCCAGACUAUUUUUUGUUUGUUUGUUUUUAAGGCCGCACCUGCUUCAUAUGUAAGUUCCCAAGCUAGGAGCCGAAUCAGAGCUGCAGCUACCAGCUUAUGCCACAGCAACACAGAAUCCACCUCCACCACAGCUCACAGCAACGCCAGAUUCUUGACCCACUGAGCAAGGCCCCGGGGGCAAACCUACAUCCUCAUGGAUACUAGCUGGGUUCUUAAUCCACUAAGACACAAUGGGAGUUCCUAGCCAGACUGUUUUAAAAAGUGGUUGAUCUCACCACUGCAACAAAAAGUGCAUUGCCGUAAGUUACGUUAAAGCUGUUGUGUGGCAAAUUUAAACAUCGCAUCAUGGAGGAAAAAGUCAAGGGCUACAGUCCUGCUAUCAAAGUGACACAUGAGGCGAUAUGGUCAUGAUUUUAUCAUUUAGAAGUGACCUUCAGCAUAACCCAGCCUACAAUUAAUACAUGAAAAGCCCUUAGGAUAUGCAAUCUUAUAAAAUGGCUCUUAGAAUAAUGCAUUUGAAUUCCUGAGUCCUUACACACAGCACUGGUCCCCUUAAUUCUCCUUUAAUCACAGAACACCAGCUUUUUUUCUUUUAGAAGUUAGGCCUCACAGAAAAAGUUUAUGAAAUCAAGGAGUUCCAGUUAUGGCUCAGCAAUAACAAACCCAAUUAGUACCUAUGAGGAUACAGGUUUGAUCCAUGGCCUCACUCAGUGGGUUAAGGAUCCAGUGUUGCUGUGGCUAUGGUGUAGGCUGGCAGCUACAGCUCUGAUUCAACCCCUAGCCUGGGAACUUCCACAUGCCUUGGAUGCGGCUCUAAAAAGACAAAAAAUAAAAAUAAAAAAAAAAUCUAUGUAAUCAGCUCAUUUGCAAUUAAGGCAAAUCUAAUGCAUCUGACGCCUUCCUGCCCUAAGGAAAUGACAGGUGACACCAGGGUCCCAUGUGCUGUGUUCUUGCUGACUUCCUUUCUGAACUGUGGCUCAGGUUGCCACUAUGCUCCAGCUGUGUAACCACAACCCUCCCACCUAUUUGGACAGACAACAAGGGACUCCACAGCAUCUUUACCUGCAAGAAAGCUCAGCCCAGCAUCCCGAUCAGGACCCCCUCUUUCCUCUGCAGUGGGAACCAUGAGCAGAGGAAUACAGUUCUCUCACCUCUCUGGGCACCACCCAGCGCCUGCUCAUAAUGGAAAACAGCUGCUGUUGGCGCCCCAUCCGCCUUCAUGGAGCGGGGGUCAUGGAUGCCCUAGGGAGCAUUUCGAUGUGAGGGGGGUUCCCGAACCUCCAGGUCACAGGCUAAGUGAGGAAGAACGGCAUGGCUGAGAGAGACAGGAGGUGGUGCAGAGAUGGGAGGGAUAGAGAGAUAGAGGUGGGUGGGGGGAGGAGAAGGAGGGCAGGAGGGAGGGAGAUGAACCAAGUGAUGGACACUAAAAAACAUACUGCACAGACAACUGACUCCCUCCUCUGCUGUCCUUGCCUGGGAAUCAGGAGGUUUGGGUUCUGGUUCCAGUUCUAAGGUCCUAGUUACCCUGAGCAUCAAGCUCCUGGAAUAAGCCCCAGAUUCGUCAGUGUGUACAAGAGGCACUAUCUAGAUAACCUCAAAGCACUUUACAUAUAUUAACUCGUAGAACCCUGACAGAAAUCCUUGGUGGUGGGUAGAAUUCUUUUUCUUUCUAUUCUUUUUUUUUUAAUGGAAUAGUUUCAUGUGGAAUUACUUAUAUCUACCCUUUUUUAAAAAUUUUAUUGGAGUACAGCUGACUUACAAUGUUGUAUUAAUUUCAGGGGUACAGCAAAGUGGAUAAGCUAUACAUAUACAUUUAUCCAUCAUUUUUCCCAUAUGGAAUACUACAGAAUAUAGAGCAGUGUUCCCUGUGCUAUACAGUAGGUUUUGUUAGUUAUCUAUAUUUAUACAUAGUAGUGUGUAUCCAUGAAUCCCAGCCUCCUAAUUUACACCGCUCCCCCAGUUUCCCCUUUGGUAACCAUAAGUUUGAUAGUGGAAUCUCUGAGUUUCUGUUUUAUAAAUAAGUUGUUUCAUAUCAUUUUUAUACGAUUCCACAUAUAAGUGAUAUCAUAUUAUAUCUUUCUCUGGCUUACUUCACUUACUAUGAUAAUCUCUAGGUCCAUCCAUGUUGCUGAAAAUGGCAUGAUUUAUUCUUUGUUACGGCUGAGUAAUAUCCCAUUGCAUGUAUGUACCACAUCUUCUUUAUCCACUCCUCUGUCAAGGGACAUUUAGGUUGCCUCCAUGUCUUGGCUAUUGUAAACAGUGCUGCAAUGAACACUGGGGUGCCUGUAUCAUACUUUCCAAGAGCUUGAGGGUACCAAAAUAAAGAGUCCUCCAUGGCUAGUGAGCAAGAGUGGCAGGGGGUGGGGUGAAGGUGGUGAGAACUGAGACCACUUGGUUCAGAGCUGUGCUCUUGAGCAUCACCAUGUGGUUCCUGCCUUCUACCAACUCACACACCAGGGAGAAUUACUUCAGUACAAAAGCUAUACAUAUGUUCAACAUUUUAGGAGUAAAAGGAAUGUCGCUAUAAAAUAUAAGUAAAUAUAAAGUGGAUAGUUUCGUGGGUUUUGUUUGUUUGUUUUGUCUUUUUGCUAUUUCUUGGGCCGCUCCUGUGGCAUAUGGAGAUUCCCAGGCUAGGGGUCCAAUCGGAGCUAUAGCCACCGGCCUACGCCAGAGCCACAGCAACGCAGGAUCCGAGCUGCAUCUGCAACCUACACCACAGCUCACGGCAACGCCAGAUCGUUAACCCACUGAGCAAGGGCAGGGACCGAACCCGCAACCUCAUGGUUCCUAGUCAGAUUCGUUAACCACUGCACACGACGGGAACUCCAGUUUCAUGUUUUUUUACAAAAAAAAAAAAAAAAAAAAGGAAAUCAGUGUCUUACCAUACACACCAGUUAAAGACAUUUCUUAUGAAGGAUUUAUAUAGAUACUGCCCAAUUUCCUAUCUUAAUGAUACUUAAAAUAUCAUAAAGGUCACUUACUUUCUUGAGAAAUGCCAGUCUAAAAACAAUUUGGGGAGCACAAUGAAGAUAGAGGUGACCCGUGGAUAUCCACGGGUCCCACAGCCACAGAUUCAGCCAUACACAGAUUCAACCAACCUCGGAGCCUCGGAUGUAGAACCUGCAGAUGUGGAACUCGUGGAUAUGGAUGCUGAUUGCACUAUGCCAUUUAAGAGAAGUGAUUUGAGCACCCGCAGAUUUCGGCAUCUGUACGGAUCCUGGAACAAUCUCCUGUGGAUACUAAGGGACAACUGUCUAACCAUGAUAAGCUAGAAAAAAAUUAAGCUUAGCCAAAUACAAUGAAUUUGGGUUUGCAGAAUUACUUGUGAUGCAAUCAAAUACUUUAAAACCUUCCACAUCACACACAAAGUCAAAGUGACCAACAGAAUGUCUGAGCCUGACAUAGCUCUUUUUCAAAGCAAAGGUAUGAAAUCCCCUUUUGGCCUCUUGCUGUCAACUUUGCAUGAGCAACCUUUCUCAUCACCUCAGCCAUGUCAGCUCCCAACUCCACACCAUCACCUAAAAGCCACCCCUAUCCCAGAAGAUCCUGGUCCACCCUUUGACUGCAACAUGCAAGUCUUCUAUCAGGCCCUUUGGCCUUUCACUGAAGCAUCUACGUCUUGAAUUCCAAAACCACGCAUAGCCCAAUUAUUCCCAUUCCCAAAUCCACUAAGCAAACUGUCUAUGCCAAAAGACUGUGGGUUUUUGUACCCCAAAUCUCUGGUCCCCCAAACCAGAGGCUCUGGAUCUAGGUGAUUCUGGGAAGUAUCUAGAUUUGGGAACCCCUGGGCUACACCUUGGGUAUUAACACUCUGCUAUAGGUACAGUUUUCUCUACUGUCAAAAGAGGGAUCUGGGCCGGAGAGUGAUCUCCAAGCUUCAUCCAGCCAGAGCCACAAGUCUGAGUCCAGCUUCUAAGACUCCAUAGAUACUGAUUUUCUCUCCAACCAGACUGCAUGUUUCUUCAAAACAGAGGCCACAACACCUCUUCUGAGUGUUUCAUGCACAGUAGGAGCUCAAUGAACUUACAAUCACAAGCUCCUAUGAUAUGCCCUGCUGACUGAGGACACGGACACUACUGUGGCCAGGCUAUGUGGCAAAUCUUGUACAGGUCUGGUCCACAAGUCACACCUGGCUCUAAAAGAACUGCCUGCAGAGGCUUCCAGAUAUCAGCACUGGAUGUGCUGCCAUCAGAAAGCGGCAGAACGCACUCUCUCAGAUACUAGAGUAUUUACAAUCCUCUACAACAUCUAGAAAGUGUAAGUUCUGCCUUUCUGUUUACUUGUUAAGGAAAUGACAGAAAACCGUUACAGAGGCCACUCUGGUUUGUGAGAAUUAUGAACCAUAUCGCUGUACUGUCCAAAGAAUUCACAUGUCUAACAGAAAGUAAUGACGAGAAAGACAAGACAGUGGUUCUUUUACUGCAAUGACAACAGGAUGAGGCAGGUAACUGUUCAAGUCUAGUAAAUAAAUCAAACGGAAUAUAUAUAUAUAAAUAAAUGAUUAAAAAAAAGGAAAGAAAAAGAAAAUAAAUCAAACAGGCUUGCAUCUAUUACCAAGCUCACUCUAUUGAAAGGGGACUGUUCAAGCUGGCCUUUUGUAGUUUUAUCAUGUCUAGCUAUAGAAUCUUAACAAGAAAAGUAUUUUCAUGGAAACUCAAGAUCAAGUUAAUACAGAAAGAAAGAAACAACAAUAGUCCUCAUUUUUAAAUAGGCCUGAUCAUUGCCAGGUCAUUUUCACAUGUUAUGCCAUUUCAGCCUCUCAAAGAAGCCCUCGGAGCAGGCAAGGUGCACAUUAUCUGCGUUUUUACAAAUGAGAAGAUGAAACAGAGGUUAUGAACUUCCUCCGUGGUGCAGCUGGAAACAAACACCCAGGGUUCACACUCCACCAGUGACCCUCUACAGCAGGGGUCCCACAGAGGAGACAGAUGUACGAUGUCUGGCCAAGACAGUGGGAGGUUGUUUUCUUCAUUUUAUUUUGUUUGUUUUACUUUGAAUUUGAAAGGACUGCAACAAGGCUGCAGAGCUUCCAACUGGCCACAGCUCCCAUCACAUCCAAUUAUGUGACUGCUUCAGACAAGCGAUGGGUCUUCUUGGUCCCUGAAGACACUUGAAUUUGUGACCCCUGGGCUAAAUAAUUAUAUUUACAUACUUAUAAAAAUAAUUAUAUUUUAUCAUCUCGUAGUACCUUAAGAGCACAUUCACAUGCCAUGUUUCACUUGCUCCUCAUAAUCCUGUUUACUAAGUGUGAAAAAAAUUCAAGUGACUCAUACAAGGUCAGGACCUAAAAUCUGAAUGUGUCAUGUAAGAAAUAACAGGAAACUAUAUCUGGUCACUUGUGAUGGAACAUAAUGAAGGAUAAUGUAAGAAAAAAAAUGCAUAUAUAUGUGUGUGUAUGUGCAUAUAUAUAUGACUGGGUCACUUUGCUGUACAGCAGAAAUUGACAACAUUGUAAAUCAACUGUAAUAAAAAAAAAAUCUUUAAAAAAAAAACAGUACGUGGGAAUUUCUUGAAUAAGUGUCAAGGUAAAGUUCUUUAGAUAACCAUUAUGUAAAAAUUUCUCAACUUGAGUACUCAGGUAUGCAUAUUUUCAAAUUUGAUUAUCACUUAAAGGACAGUCAUCCAGAGUAUAAGCAGAAACUAAGCUUCCACAUUAGGAAGUCAUAUUUCUUUCUCCCCCCUCCCCUGUAUUCAUUCAAUAAUAAUAAAGAAGAAACUGAUAAAAUGUCUAUUUUUUAAAUCAUUAACAAAAUGCUAGCAAAAUGAAUCCAGCAAUGUACAAAAGGAUUAUACACCAUGACCAAGUGAGAUGUUCCAGGAAUGCAAGGUUGGUUCAACAUACAAAAGCCAGUCAAUGUAAUAAACCACAUUAACAGAAUAAAGGACAAAAUGUUACAUGAUCAGUUCAAUAAAUGCAGAAAAAGCCUUUGAUCAAAUGAAACACUCUUUCAUGAUACAAAUACUCAAAAAACUAGAAACAGAAAGGAUCUUCCUCAGCCUGAUAAAAAGGCAUCUAUGAAAACACACAGACAACAUCAUACUUAAUAGUAAAUGAUUGAAUGUUUUCCCCCUAAGAUCAGGAACAGGUCAAGGAUACCUACUCUCACCCACUUAGAACCUUACUGGAAGUUCUAACAUACCAAUCAAGCAAGAAAAAGAAAUAAAAGGCACCCAGAUUGGAAAGGAAAAAGCAAACUUAUCUCUAUUUGCAUAUGAGCUGAUCUUGCAUAUAUAAAAUCUUAAGGAAUACACACACACCACCACACAAUUAUUAGGACUAAUAAAAUACAUUCAGCAAGAUUGUAAGAAAAAGCUCAAUGUACGAAAAAUAAAAAUAUCAGUGAUCCAUCAUUCCAUCACUAAAAGAAUGACGAGCAACUAAGAAGGUUGCUCUUUUAUUUUUAUUAAUCCCAACCUGAGAUU
rnacentral:lncRNA from 1 species